rnacentral:lncRNA from 1 species
AUUUAUUAAAUUAUUGAAAAUGUACUGCAGUAGACAGUUUCAGGAUUGAUACCCAAUGAUCCCCAACCUCUUGGUUUUCCCUCCUUGUGCAUCACUUCCCUUCAGUAUGGGCUGGACUUAACCCAGUGACUCACUUCUAACCAAAAGAACAUGGCAAGGAUGAUAGAAUGCCACUUGCAAGGUUUAGUUAUAAAAUUUGUGACUUCAACCUAUCUCUCUCUCUCUCUUGCUCUCUCUGACUCUUUUCAGUCUUAUGAAGCAAGCUGCCUACAGAAAUGUCCAUGUGUCAGGAAACUGAAGCUGGCUCAUGGUCAGCAGCCAGCAAGCUACAAAGGGCUUCCAACAGCCCAUGAAGCACUGAGUCCUGCCAAAAGCCACGUGCAUGAGCUUAGAAGAGCUUCAUCCUCCAGGCUAGGAAAGAGACAGUCGGUGUGCAGCAAGAGAAAAGAGAGGAGGAAACAUGUGGAAAGACCCAAAGAAUGAAGACACAAGAGCAUGCCUGAAUGCAAUGGGAAGUAGAUCAGUUGACCUUUGCUGAAUAACAAGGUGGACCUAAAACUGGGUGACUUGAAACAGUAACCUGGUACCAUCUUGAAGAGAACUCCAAAACCGUAGAGUUUAUCACCUCAGAGUCCUGCCUGGAACAAAAAUCACUGAUGAACUUUGAGUUCUAUUACAGACCCUGUGUAGUGAGGUGAGUAUUAAAGCCAGGCCUUGAUAAAAGGAUAAAUAACUUCUUGAGUUUCUGUAGAUUCAGCAGGGAUCAGAAGCCCAGCAGAGCUGACUUUCCGUAUGACUGAGGUGGAGAGAAUUCAAGCUAUGACACAGUGAAGGCUGAAAUGUGCUUCUUCUGGCCUCAACAACAUUUAGAAAAGAGCUCAGUGACAGAAAAAGAUAUGGGAAUUGAGAUAAUGGGGUCCUCGUUUCUCCUCAGCUUGGGAUUUGGACUGGGAAACAAGGAAGUUUUAAAAAGAUUCAGGAAGGUUUGGGGAACUCAGAACGUGGGGAAAUGGAUGACAUCCUUCUCCAGGCCACCAGUCCCCAGGAGAAGCACUCCACAAGGACACCUUCAGCAUGGGCAGAGCAGGGAGAUCUAUUUCUCAAGUGAAAGGUAACUGAAACUGUCAUGCAUGAAACAAGCCCAAGCAAGCAGCUGCAGUUGCAUGGUCAGCUGAGCCAAGGGCAGAGAGAUGAGCCAGAUGGGCUUCCCGCCCCUGGAGGGAGCCCCCAUCCCCAGAGGGCAGACUCUGACACUCCUUCCCAGGUUCUUGGGGCAUCACCAAAAAGAGUGGAAAUCCCUACAUGUUUUAUCUCCAAGGGUCUCUAACCUUCUGUAACACUGCUCUGUGAAUGCAAUGAGACCAUGUAAGAAAAGCACUGAGUAAAACCAAGAGCCUCAUGUUUUGUUGCUAUGCUGAUUUUAAUCUUUGAAGGUAAAGGGCCCUUGUAUCUGACCUGCAAAGCACUUGGGCUGCUGGCUUUGCAAGGCAUUGGCAAGAAUAAUACCUAAGGUACAGCUUCAAGAAGGUGGCUUUGUUUUCUCCUCUGAGAAUAAGGGACUGAAAAAG